rnacentral:rRNA from 1 species
UUCUGGCUCAGGAUGAACGCUAGCUACAGGCUAACACAUGCAAGUCGAGGGCAGCAUGAUCGAAGCUUGCUUGAUGAUGGCGACCGGCGCACGGGUGAGUAACGCGUAUCCAACCUUCCCUAUAGUAGAGGAUAGCCCGGCGAAAGUCGGAUUAAUACUCUAUGUUUUCCAAUGCAGACAUCUAAGUUGGAACAAAGGUUUACCGCUAUAGGAUGGGGAUGCGUCUGAUUAGGUAGUCGGCGGGGUAACGGCCCACCGAGCCUACGAUCAGUAGGGGUUCUGAGAGGAAGGUCCCCCACAUUGGAACUGAGACACGGUCCAAACUCCUACGGGAGGCAGCAGUGAGGAAUAUUGGUCAAUGGGCGAGAGCCUGAACCAGCCAAAGUAGCGUGCAGGAUGACGGCCCUAUGGGUUGUAAACUGCUUUUAUACGGGGAUAAAGUGAGGGACGUGUCCCUUUUUGUAGGUACCGUAUGAAUAAGGACCGGCUAAUUCCGUGCCAGCCGCGGC